rnacentral:lncRNA from 1 species
AUUCUUCAUCCUCAUUCUCCAGGUGGAUGCCUGAUUUCUUCUUUAAUUCUUCAUCCUCAUUCUCCAGGUGGACGCCUGAUUUCUUCUUCAAUUCUUCAUCCUCAUUCUCCAGGUGGAUGCCUGACUUCUUAAAUUCUUCAUCCUCAUUCUCCAGGUAGACGCCUGAUUUCUUCUUCAAUUCUUCAUCCUCAUUCUCCAGGUGGACGCCUGACUUCUUCUUAAAUUCUUCAUCCUCAUUCUCCAGGUGGAUGCCUGAUUUCUUCUUUAAUUCUACAUCCUCAUUCUCCAGGUGGACGCCUGAUUUCUUCUUUAAUUCUUCAUCCUCAUUCUCCAGGUGGACGCUUGAUUUCUUCUUUAAUUCUUCAUCCUCAUUUUCCAGGUGGACGCCUGACUUCUUCUUAAAUUCUUCAUCCUCAUUCUCCAGAUGGACGCCUGAUUUCUUCUUUAAUUCUUCAUCCUCAUUCUCCAGGUGGACGCCUGA